UCAACGUGGGGCGUGCCUCAAUUUCGCCACCUACAACAUGUUGGAAAGUUCUCUCCUCGAAAAACUUUCUUUCUUUCAAUAUGCAACGAAAAAACGCGACCUUGGGCCGGAAAAUGGCGCCAUUUUUGAAUUUUGAGGGCUUUUGACACAGAAUCGUGACCUGUGUGCAGGCGGUUUACCCACAUUGAGCUGCAAACAUGUCACGGUCUUCCACUUGGUAUGACUCACUUUCAGAGUUUCAAACAACACCUGGGGCUUAGGGAGUAAUUAGCGGUGGGAUUUUUUUGAGUCGGUUUUAUUGUCUCACUUUUGGGGGAAAGACAGCAAAAAACUUGGGCCUUGACCUGUACACUGCAUUUAUUCGAGAAAAUUGCGCUCCAGGAUGUUAGAAUUUCUUAUUUGCAUUUGUGUUGUCAUUCCGUUACAGAGCUACUUGUUUUUUUUUGGAUUUGGAUUUUUUUUCAGUACUUUAUCCAUUCAUUGCUUUAUCAGAAAAUACACAAGUUGAAGCGCAUUGCUGACAGCAGUAUGUCAUUGUAAAUCAGUCACAAAAGAGUACAGUUUGGCCUAGUGUAAAUGUUAUCUAAUUUAAGUACUCAGCUGUUGUAUAAUAAUUUCACAAAACUGUAAAAUUUUUUGGAAUUUGUAAUGAAAUUUAAAAAACGGUUGUUUGAUCAAAUUUGCUAUUUUUUUUCCAAAAACUAAAUGAGAAUUGCUUAGGAAAGAAUCAAGAAACAACUGAAAUGAAAAUUGCACAAAUCUACAUUUUUUUUGGAAUUUCUUGUGAAAUAAAAAAACGGCUUUUGACCAAAAACUAUAUAAAAACAGCUUAGAAAACAGUCAUUUAAUAAUCUUUUAAAUAACGGGAAUAAAAAUUUUUGAGUGUGUUGCCAUUCCUUGAAAUUAAAUAAAUACAUACAUUUUUUGCAAAAUAUUUGUUCACUGUUAUGUUCUAGCAAAAGUAAAGGUGCAAAUUUUUCGUUUUUUAUUAAUUAUUUCUAUUUGAUUUUUUGUUCCUUUCAGCUUUUGGCAGCUUUUUUAUAAAUACCCACCUACUUAAAAAUUACGGAAGUUUAUUUUUAAAGUUUCAAAUAUUUUAUUAUUGUCUCAAUUUUGGCCAGAUUAAAAAAUUACCUCCGGAGGGUCAAUUUUAUUAACCUUGACCUCUAGUACUGCAUUUAUUCGAGAAAAUUGCGCUCCAAGGCUGUUGAAAGCAGCCUCCAGGAUGUUAAAACCUCAUGUUUGCAUAAAUUUUUAGAUGUUAAUUAGAUGGUGUUAUGUCAUUUCGUUGCAGCGCUACUUUUUCGGGCGAUUUUUUUUCAUAAACGUUUGCACUCAAAAUGCAAAACUUUCUUAUUUUAUGUAAUUUUUGAUAUUUUAGAAAUCCGGGACAGUUAUUAAGGAAAGUAUACGGUGACAUUAAUACCGUAAAAGUGUCAAUUAAAGUUGAUUUGGAUCGGAUUUUAAACGUAGAAAUCCGUGUUUUUUGCAAAUCCGUUGAUUACGAAUUUUUUUGAAUUACUUUAUCGGAAAAUAAACAAUGUUAAGCGCAUUUCUGACAACAAUAUGUCACUGUAACAAUUGUUACCACCUUAUUUGAUAUUGGAAAUGACUUUCAUUUGUGCCAAAUGUAUUUAAAACAACGACUAAAAAUACCGAAUUUCGAAAUUUUCAUUGCAGAGCAAACAAACCAAGUUCAUGGUCCAUUCACAAUUUUACCGCUUCCUAAAAUAAUGAAUGCGUAAUUAAUUUGUAAAUGAAAACAAACAAAUUGUGGUUUUUAAAUUUGAACACUCAAUUGCCUUAUCUAAUCUUUUGCAAAAUCUUUUUUUAUAUUUACUAGUGACUGUAUAUCUGUACAAAAAAACAAUAUCUUUAUUUGAACAAAUCUCGAGAGUAAAAAGUGUGUUGAAAUUCCUUUCUCGUACAUUUUAUUGUUUAACAACUUGACAUAAACCUGAAUCAUAAUGGCUACGACACAGUGAAAGAAUGUCAGAAAAUAUCACCGAUAAGUCACUUUUAUUAUUAUUGCUUCCAGACGGUUUAAUUUGACGACGGAAUUUGUGUGUGCGGGCGGAGGAGGAAGUUGUGGCAGAAAUGUUUAAUAAAAAAAUGUUCAAACAGAUGACUAAUGUAUUGACGCAAGAAUCAUCCGAAACUUACGUAAUGUUUUUAUAAAUAGCUCGUAAAAAUAAAGGAAAGUGUUUUUCGUCUUGAAA